GACGAACGCUGGCGGCGUGCUUAACACAUGCAAGUCGAACGGUAAGGCCCUUCGGGGUACACGAGUGGCGAACGGGGGAGUAACACGUGGGUGAUCUGCCCUGCACUUCGGGAUAAGCCUGGGAAACUGGGUCUAAUACCGGAUAGGACCACUGCCUGCAUGGGUGGUGGUGGAAGGCUUUUGCGGUGUGGGAUGGGCCCGCGGCCUAGCAGCUUGUUGGUGGGGUGAUGGCCUACCAAGGCGACGACGGGUAGCCGGCCUGAGAGGGUGACCGGCCACCCUGGGACUGAGAUACGGCCCAGACUCCUACGGGAGGCAGCAGUGGGGAAUAUUGCACAAUGGGCGCAAGCCUGAUGCAGCGACGCCGCGUGAGGGAUGACGGCCUUCGGGUUGUAAACCUCUUUCAGCACCGACGAAGCGCAAGUGACGGUAGGUGCAGAAGAAGGACCGGCCAACUACGUGCCAGCCGCCGCCGUAA
rnacentral:rRNA from 1 species